GACAGAGGGCGCAAGCGUUGUUCGGAAUUAUUGGGCGUAAAGGGCGCGUAGGCGGUCUUGCACGUCAUAUGUGAAAUCCCAGGGCUUAACCCUGGAAGUGCAUCUGAUACUGCUCGACUUGAGUCCCGGAGAGGGUGGUGGAAUUCCCAGUGUAGAGGUGAAAUUCGUAGAUAUCCGCAGGAACACCAGUGGCGAAAGCGGCCACCUGGACUGCACCUGACGCUGACACGCGAAAGCUAGGGGAGCGAACGGG
rnacentral:rRNA from 1 species